AUAUCCGGCGAACGGUAGUUUUGAAUCCGUGCUCAGGAUGACGCUGGCGGCGUGCCUAAUACAUGCAAGUCGAACGAAGUACUUCGGUACUUAGUGGCGAACGGGUGAGUAACACGUAGGUAACCUGCCCAUAUGACUGGGAUAACUAUUGGAAACGAUAGCUAAUACCGGAUAGGAUAAAGAAAGGCAUCUUUCUUUAUUUAAAGUUGAGAUACACAUAUGGAUGGACCUGCGGAGCAUUAGGUAGUUGGUGAGGUAACGGCUCACCAAGCCGAUGAUGCAUAGCCGACCUGAGAGGGUAAACGGCCACACUGGGACUGAGACACGGCCCAGACUCCUACGGGAGGCAGCAGUAGGGAAUUUUCGGCAAUGGGGGAAACCCUGACCGAGCAACGCCGCGUGAGUGAAGACGGCCUUCGGGUUGUAAAGCUCUGUUGUAAGGGAAGAAUGUGCUGGAUAGUAUCUAGUAAUGACGGUACCUUACCAGAAAGUCACGGCUAACUACGUG
rnacentral:rRNA from 1 species